rnacentral:rRNA from 1 species
GGCUCAGAGUGAACGCUGGCGGCGUGCUUAACACAUGCAAGUCGAACGGUAACAGGAACUAGCUUGCUAGUUUGCUGACGAGUGGCGCACCGGGUGAGUAAUAUAUAGUUAAUGUACCCCAAAGACUGGGAUAGCCACUGGAAACGGUGAUUAAUACUAGAUACACCUCUUUAACAUAAGUUAGAGAGGGAAAUGUCUUUUCGCUUUGGGAUCAGACUAUAUCCUAUCAGUUAGUUGGUGAGGUAAUGGCUCACCAAGGCAAUGACGGGUAGCGGGUUUGAGAGGAUGAUCCGCCACACUGGUACUGAGACACGGACCAGACUCCUACGGGAGGCAGCAGUGAGGAAUAUUGCACAAUGGAGGAAACUCUGAUGCAGCAACGCCGCGUGGAGGAUGACGCAUUUCGGUGUGUAAACUCCUUUUAUAUGUCAAGAAAAUGACGGUAGCAUAUGAAUAAGCACCGGCUAACUCCGUG